rnacentral:tRNA from 2 species
GGGUUGCUAACUCAACGGUAGAGUACUCGGCUUUUAAAAGGAAAUUAUCUACUCCAUCCGACUAGUUCCGGG